UCUUCCUUUCCAAUCCGCCGUCAGGGGUGGAGCCUCUGCUGGGAAGCAGAGUUUUAUGAAGACCAUUCUGGGAAGAGCACCAUGCUCGAGGUUGAACCCCUGGACACCAUAGAAAAUGUAAAGGCCAAGAUCCAGGAUAAGGAAGGACUUCCUCCUGAUCAGUAGAGGCUGGUCUUUGCUGGUAAGCAGCUGGAAGAUGGCCAUACUUGUUUGACUACAACAUUCAAAAGGAGUCCACCCUUCAUCUUGUGUUGAGCCUUCUUGGUGGUGCUAAGAAAAGAAAGAAGAAGUCUUACACCACUCCCAAGAAGAGUAAGCAUAAGAGGAAGAAGGUUAAGUUGGCUCUGCUGAAAGGUGGAUGAAAAUGGCCAAUCAGUUGACCUCAUCCAGAGUGUCCUUCUGAUGAGUGUGGUGCUGGAGUUAUCAUGGGAAGCCACUUUGACAGGCACUGCUGUGGCAACUGUUGUCUGACUUAACUGCUUCAACAAACCAGAAGGCAAGUAGUUGUGUAUGAGUUACUAAAAGGAAUAAACU